CCCGGGGAUCCGAUUCCUACGGGAGGCAGCAGUGGGCGAAACUGGACAAUGGGCGCAAGCCUGAUCCAGCAAUGCCGCGUGAGUGAAGAAGGCCUUCGGGUUGUAAAGCUCUUUUGUCAGGGAAGAAACGGCUGUGGCUAAUAUCCACGGCUAAUGACGGUACCUGAAGAAUAAGCACCGGCUAACUACGUGCCAGCAGCCGCGGUAAUACGUAGGGUGCAAGCGUUAAUCGGAAUUACUGGGCGUAAAGCGUGCGCAGGCGGUUUUGUAAGUCUGACGUGAAAUCCCCGGGCUCAACCUGGGAAUUGCGUUGGAGACUGCAAGGCUAGAAUCUGGCAGAGGGGGGUAGAAUUCCACGUGUAGCAGUGAAAUGCGUAGAGAUGUGGAGGAACACCGAUGGCGAAGGCAGCCCCCUGGGUCAAGAUUGACGCUCAUGCACGAAAGCGUGGGGAGCAAACAGGAUUAGAUACCCUGGUAGUCCACGCCCUAAACGAUGUCUACUAGUUGUCGGGUUUUAAUUAACUUGGUAACGCAGCUAACGCGUGAAGUAGACCGCCUGGGGAGUACGGUCGCAAGAUUAAAACUCAAAGGAAUUGACGGGGACCCGCACAAGCGGUGGAUGAUGUGGAUUAAUUCGAUGCAACGCGAAAAACCUUACCUACCCUUGACAUGUCAGGAAGACCGGAGAGAUCUGGUUGUGCCAUCCAUAUGA
rnacentral:rRNA from 1 species